ACGCCGUAAACAGACAACAUGGCGGCUGCGGCGGCCACGGCGUCUGGGGCACUGGGGGCCUUGCAGGCCAGUCGUGCACGCUUGGUCGCCGCUUGGUGUGCGCAGCUCGGCCUGGGGCUAGGGCUGCCCGGUUCGGUGACGAGCACGCGCGCCGGGCCGGCGAUGUGGGCCCAGGGCUGGGCACCCGCGGCCGGGGGAGCUGUCCUGAGGAGAGGCUACAGCUCUGAGGUGAAUGCGGAGAACGAGCUGCGGGUGCGGUACCUGGAGGAGGAAAAUAGAGGAAUCGUGGUGCUUGGAAUAAACAGAGCUCAUGCCAAAAAUGCAAUCAGUAAAAAUCUUAUAAAAAUGCUGUCAAAAGCUGUGGAUGCUUUAAAAUCUGAUAAGAAAGUGCGGACCAUAAUAGUCAGGAGUGAAGUCCCAGGGGUAUUCUGUGCUGGUGCUGACCUUAAGGAAAGAGUCAAAAUGCAUUCCAGUGAAGUUGGGCCUUUUGUCUCCAAAAUAAGAGCUGUGGUUAAUGACAUAGCUAACCUUCCGGUGCCGACCAUCGCAGCUAUAGAUGGACUGGCGUUAGGGGGUGGUCUGGAACUGGCUCUAGCGUGCGACGUAAGAGUGGCAGCUUCCUGUGCAAAAAUGGGCCUGGUGGAAACAAAGCUGGCAAUUAUUCCUGGUGCAGGGGGGACACAGAGAUUGCCACGCGCAAUUGGAAUGUCCCUGGCAAAGGAGCUCAUCUUUUCUGCACGUGUGCUGGAUGGCCAGGAAGCUAAAGCAAUAGGCUUGAUCAGCCACGUUCUAGAACAGAACAAAGAGGGGGAUGCUGCCUACAGAAAGGCCUUGGACCUAGCCAGAGAAUUUUUACCUCAGGGACCGGUUGCAAUGAGGGUGGCAAAGUUAGCCAUUAAUCAAGGGAUGGAGGUUGAUUUAGUAACGGGAUUAGCCAUAGAGGAAGCUUGUUAUGCCCAGACCAUUCCAACAAAAGACAGACUCGAAGGUCUUCUUGCUUUUAAAGAGAAAAGACCCCCUCGUUAUAAAGGAGAAUAGAAGAAACAGAAAUCUUUAAAAUGCCAAUGUGAUAAAUGUACUUCUGGAAGUAUCUUUCAGAUGCAGUGUAUGCCUCAGCACAUGGAAUUUCACCAACCAAAGUGAAAGGCGAAUUAUUCCCAUAGUGUAUUAGCAUCUGGAAUGGACCCCUGUUGUCUGUACCUUGUUCAAAAGCAUGUCAUGCCAUUUCCUGCAGUUUUCUACUCAUCACGAUGGUUUCAUUGCCGUUUGAAAGUGUAUGGACUUUUCAGUUUUUAAAAUCACUGGAAAAAUAAAGCUCUCAAUCUUGAGUCUAAAAAUCCCAUGACGACAAACGUUCUGACUAAGUCACUGGAGUAUGUGAACGCAAAGACACCAUCCUACAGCGACCUCAGAUACAGUGAGAGGAAGGUGCCUGCCCAACUUCCUGGAUAAAUGUUUGAUUCUCUCUCAGCACAGCCCUUUAGAUGGAGGGUAGUCCUAACACUAUCUCCCCAAGGCAGGCAGCUGGGGACUUUGGAGGUGGGUCUGCCCCUGCCUGGGGCGGGUGGGCCAGGGCAGCCCCUCCAAAGAGCUGGGUCAACUUUACACUGAAACCACCUCAGAAACCAGUGCGAGCCAGCGCAGUGGACAGACCCAUUUGUCCAGAUUAAAGUAAACAAAACUCUCAGAAAGCGAGAAGGACUCAUCCAGCAGAGUAUAAUUCAGAGGAUGAAAGCUAAAUAAAGAGGAAAAAUAGUUGGCUUUAUCAGAGCAUGAGACCUACUGGUGUUGAAGUAAUCUCAACCCCAAACCCAUUGCCAUCAAGUCGAAUUCCGACUCACAGCAACCCUAUAGGACAGCAGAACUGGCGCGUAGGGUUUCCAAGGCUAUAAGCUUUACAGAAGCAGACUGCCACGUCUUUCUCCUGUGGAGCAGCUGGUGGGUUCAGACCACCAUCCUUUCACUUAGCAGCUGAGCACUUAACCAUUGCGCCACCAGGGCUGCUCCUGAAAUAAUUUAGUGCUGGUCAGUUUAUAACUUCUCUACAAAAGGGAAUCGGAACCCUGGUGGCCCAGUGGUUAAGAGCUCGCUGCUAACCCAAAAGGUCGGCAGUUCAAAUCUACCAGCUUCUCCUUGGAAACCCUAUGGGGCAGUUCUACCCUGUCCUAUAGGGUCACUAUGAGUCAGAAUUGACUCAACGGCACCUAACAACAGCUUCGAAAGAGAAAGAUUUCCGAGUUGGUGAGGUUCCGAGAGGAGAAAAGUUCUAACAGCCAAAAUAAGAUGUAGAUUUUCUGUGAUGCAGAUUCUGUGACUUAGUUUGUGUUUGUUUUCAACGAGAAAUGGGCCUAGUUUUCCAGAGAAUCAAGCCCUUCUUGCUGUUUCUCCUAGCUAGCACAAAAUUGGCUUGUCACCAAGUGUUAUUUUUCUAAAAGCACUUAGAAGAAGAGGCUUUGUCUAUGGGGCUGAGGUCGGGAAGUGUCAAUUCACAGAUGUGAUACUUAGAAAAAUGUGUAUUUUUUAUGUGGGUUUGUGACAAGUCGGCCGUUUACCCUUUCCCUCACCUAACCUCUGCUCCCACUUCUGGUGAAUGACCUACAUUUCCUCUUAUCGGGGGUCAAAAAACCCUGGCAGGCAGACUUCUUUUUUUUAAGUAUUUAAUCAAACUUUUAUUGUUGUCUACCAACCUAGUUAAACAUUAGCUAAUAUGUAUGUCAGUAUUGACUGGCCUUUAUCAAAAUAGCACUGAUAAUUCUUGCCCAUAGUAUCUUAAAGACCAACUGUACACUGUUGUUAUCAGGUGCCCUCAAGUCGGCUCUGACUCAUAAUGACUCUUUGUAAAAGAGAACGAAACAUUGCCUGGUCCUGCGCCAUGCUCACGAUCGUUGUUAUGCUUGAGCC